UACAGAGGUCCCAAGCGUUGUUCGGAUUCAUUGGGCGUAAAGGGUGUGUAGGUGGCGCGCUAAGUCGGGUGUGAAAUUUCGGAGCUUAACUCCGAAACUGCAUUCGAUACUGGCGUGCUUGAGGACUGGAGAGGAGACUGGAAUUCAUGGUGUAGCAGUGAAAUGCGUAGAUAUCGUAAGGAAGACCAGUGGCGAAGGCGAGUCUCUGGACAGUUACUGACACUGAGGCACGAAGGCCAGGGGAGCAAACGGG
rnacentral:rRNA from 1 species